AGGCACCCAGAAGCAAGGUUACUGCUCAGUUAUUCAGCAUUGUCCCUGCUGACAUGCACUACAAGGGUAUAAUUUAAGAAAGAAAUGCUUCCUCAUGCUUUGCCCUCUCCUGCCUGGCCCUCUGAUGCGUUUUGCUCUGAUUUCUGAUACUGCUGUGCAGCACCCAAAGCAUCCUCCUGGGGUGAACAAGGCAGGCUGGGCUUUUCCAACCCAAACAGUACUUCUCUUAGCACUGCAGCCCUCCCUCCUGUGUGUUAUGGGUAGAGCUUUGGCAUGUAACUAACAGCCAAACAAGAAUUAAACUGAUUUGGUGAAAUUAGUUCAAAUAGUUCAUACAUUUUUUGGAUCUCCAAGGUGUCAGAGUAUCUAGCACACAAGCUAAGGUGCAGAUUCCUAAUGAGACACACACAGAUCACCAUAUUCAUAAAUUCAGUCUUAUUUGACAGAAAAUAAAAUUGAAGACCUUGAAGGUACAAGCACAUAUUUUUACAGAGUUCCUUAAAAAUAUUUGCUGGUAAAACAAGAUUUCUACAAGGAACAAAGAAUCAUAUUUUAAUUGGUCUUUUGUUAAUUUAACAACUAUCAGUUUCAUCAUAUAGGGACUAUAUUCCCAGGAAUUCCUCUGACAAAAGUGUCCCCAAGAGUCUGGAAGAUUUUCCAAUUUCAAUUUAAAGAAACGUGCAGCAAGAGUGACUGAGUACAGAUAGAUGUCUCUGAGAGCAUUGUGAGAAGACAAAGAAAGAGGGUACUGGGAGUUGUCCACAGAAGGAGACUGUACUAUUACGCCUGGAAGGAGAACUGCAUGAUAAGGCAUUCCCACCCCAUGCCUAUCACAGAGUCACCUCUGCUCUCCACUAUCUACGACUGCCCAGCUGUAACGAAGGGAGCGGCCAGCCAGCACUCAGUCUCGCUGUGCUGGCAAAGAGGAAUGAAGACCUGGGAAGGAAGGGACACGACUAAAGAGGACACGAUGGAAGCGCCAUUGGAAUGUUGAGAUGGGAAGAUAAAGGCACUGGGACUGGGCAAGU
rnacentral:lncRNA from 1 species